rnacentral:rRNA from 1 species
UACGAAGGGGGCUAGCGUUGCUCGGAAUUACUGGGCGUAAAGCGUGCGUAGGCGGUGACUUAAGUCUGUUGUGAAAUCCCCGGGCUCAACCUGGGAAUGGCAAUGGAUACUGGGUCGCUAGAGUGUGAUAGAGGAUGGUGGAAUUCCCGGUGUAGCGGUGAAAUGCGUAGAGAUCGGGAGGAACAUCAGUGGCGAAGGCGGCCAUCUGGAUCAACACUGACGCUGAGACGCGAAAAGCGUGGGGGAGCAAAACAGG